AUGCGGCUCCCGGCCGGGUUCCUUCGCAGGAUGUCAAAGACUCAAAGCCCAAACGCGCCGCCUUGGCCCGCGACCGCCAGCGCCGCCGGCCGGAACGGGCAACCGGCGGCUGGGCGUCUCUCCCCACGGACAUACUCGGCCUCGUCGCCGACCUGGUCCUUGACGCCGCGGAUUACGUGGCCUUCCGCGCCGUCUGCUCCGGCUGGCGCGAGCACGCCCACGCCGCGCGAGCGCGACCCGCGCCUCUGGCCCCGGGACUGGGUGGCGCUCUGCGACGGCGACGCGGUCCGCCCGGAGGACGCGCGGGAGAUCGCCCUGCUCCACACGCGCACGGGCAGGCGAGUCCGCAUCCGCCUGCCGGGGCUACGGGGCUACCGGAUCGUCGGCUUCAGCGACGGCCUCCUCGUCCUCCUGCGCAAGAGCACCACCGCGCUCCGCGUGCUUCACCCCUUGACGCUCGUCGCCGUCGACUUCCCGUCCCUCGCAACCGUGUACCACGAGGAGGUCGCUGACAUGGGCUCUCUCCGGGACAUGAAGGCUGCCGUAUGCAGCAGCAGCAGCAGCAGGGAGCCGUCAACGAGCUCGAUCGCGGCCGUGGUCCUGUUCCCCAACGCCAACGGAAAUGUGGUGGUCGCCGCUGACGGCGGCAAGGACCAUUGGGAGGUCCUCCACCGCCGCCACGAGAAGCUCUCUAUCCGGAACACCUUGCUCUUCCAAGGGAGGCUCUAUGCCACCACUUUCCACCCGCCGUCACCGGAGAUUGUGCAGCUGUACCCUCCCGGACCAACACUCGAUAACAUGGUCGCCACGGUGCCGGGAGCCGUGCGCUAUUCGCGCUACAGUGACACCCUCCACCUUGUGGAGUCCGCCGGACGGAUGCUGCUCGUCGUCCGGCAUGUCAUCGUCCGGGCAAGCACAACCAAGCGUCAACUGCUGACCUUUGCGAUCUACUCGGUGGACUUCGACGACGAGGACAACAACGGCCGCCCGACGCUGACGCCGGUGAGCGGCCUCGGCGACCGCGGCUGUUUCUCGGCGACGGCGGGUGCCUGUCCGUCUCGGCAAGGGACCUCCCUUCGCUGA
rnacentral:rRNA from 1 species